rnacentral:rRNA from 1 species
UACGUAGGGUGCGAGCGUUAAUCGGAAUUACUGGGCGUAAAGCGUGCGCAGGCGGUUCGUUGUGUCUGAUGUGAAAGCCCUGGGCUCAACCUGGGAAUGGCAUUGGAAACUGGCGAUCUAGAGUGCGGUAGAGGGUAGUGGAAUUCCCGGUGUAGCAGUGAAAUGCGUAGAGAUCGGGAGGAACAUCUGUGGCGAAGGCGACUGCCUGGACCAGCACUGACACUGAGGCACGAAAGCGUGGGGAGCAAACAGG